AAAUCACGGCCUAUAGCACGUGACAUGUGACAUCGCCACCAGGUGUACUUCAGUUAAAUACCAAAAUCUGAGCACACUUGGUAGCGGUGCCUUAAGUCAUUACAUUACAUCAGGGAUAUGU
rnacentral:precursor_RNA from 8 species